GAAGCGAGUGGCGAACGGCUGAGUAACACGUGGAGAACCUGCCCCCUCCCCCGGGAUAGCCGCCCGAAAGGACGGGUAAUACCGGAUACCCCGGGGUGCCGCAUGGCACCCCGGCUAAAGCCCCGACGGGAGGGGAUGGCUCCGCGGCCCAUCAGGUAGACGGCGGGGUGACGGCCCACCGUGCCGACAACGGGUAGCCGGGUUGAGAGACCGACCGGCCAGACUGGAACUGAGACACGGCCCAGACUCCUACGGGAGGCAGCAGUGGGGAAUCUUGCGCAAUGGGGGGAACCCUGACGCAGCGACGCCGCGUGCGGGACGGAGGCCUUCGGGUCGUAAACCGCUUUCAGCAGGGAAGAGUCAAGACUGUACCUGCAGAAGAAGCCCCGGCUAACUACGUGCCAGCAGCCGCGGUAAUACGUAGGGGGCGAGCGUUAUCCGGAUUCAUUGGGCGUAAAGCGCGCGUAGGCGGCCCGGCAGGCCGGGGGUCGAAGCGGGGGGCUCAACCCCCCGAAGCCCCCGGAACCUCCGCGGCUUGGGUCCGGUAGGGGAGGGUGGAACACCCGGUGUAGCGGUGGAAUGCGCAGAUAUCGGGUGGAACACCGGUGGCGAAGGCGGCCCUCUGGGCCGAGACCGACGCUGAGGCGCGAAAGCUGGGGGAGCGAACAGGAUUAGAUACCCUGGUAGUCCCAGCCGUAAACGAUGGACGCUAGGUGUGGGGGGACGAUCCCCCCGUGCCGCAGCCAACGCAUUAAGCGUCCCGCCUGGGGAGUACGGCCGCAAGGCUAAAACUCAAAGGAAUUGACGGGGGCCCGCACAAGCAGCGGAGCAUGUGGCUUAAUUCGAAGCAACGCGAAGAACCUUACCAGGGCUUGACAUGCGCAUGAAGCCGGGGAAACCCCGUGGCCGAGAGGAGCCAGCGCAGGUGGUGCAUGGCUGUCGUCAGCUCGUGUCGUGAGAUGUUGGGUUAAGUCCCGCAACGAGCGCAACCCCCGCCGCGUGUUGCCAUCGGGUGAUGCCGGGAACCCACGCGGGACCGCCGCCGUCAAGGCGGAGGAAGGUGGGGACGACGUCAAGUCAUCAUGCCCCUUAUGCCC
rnacentral:rRNA from 1 species